UACUGGUAUAGUGAAGCAUUGCAUUUUGGGACAGUGGGGUGAAGUUCACCAUUACUUAAAAUAAAAAGGCUUUGCACUGGAUAACUUUAGUAUGGAUGGAUUACUGUGCCUUAAUUCUGUUUGUAAGUAGCUUACAUGAAGACCUAGGGAGGGAUUGCGUUAUAGACCAUUAGGGUACAGGACUCCAGACUGAAACCAGCUGUUUAGGGCCUGAACAGUGUACAACACUUGGACCAAAAGCCUCAGAAUGAGUUGGUGAAGCCUCAGAAUGAUCUGGUGAAUAUGGACACAAAGCCACUGUUGGUUGGAAAUCAGAAUAACUUGUACAGUUUUCAUGACAACCAAAAGUCAAGAACAUAAUAGCAGUAUAUAAGUACAUACAAAUCUUCAACACAGAAAAUUAUCUCUACAAGAAAAGGAGACACAUGUCAACAAUGCUGAGGCAUACCCCAGGCAGUUAAACCAUUUAAUCCUCGUUCUUUGAAAACCGGACUUGUGCAUGUGUGCAAAGUGUUUCCCAGAUCAGCCAAUGCGGACAGGGAUGACACUUUCCAAUUGUAUGGUAUUGUGUGUUUAAAGAAAGUCUCUUCUUAGCCAAUAUCCAUUUUAGGUGGAAAGAGUGAAGACUGCACAGGCUUAUCUCGGACGAUACUUUAUGGAAAUGCAUUAAGCCCUGUCUUCCCAGAACGUGGAUCAUAUUUAUAUCUUAACCCCUGUUGUACGUUAUUCUUCAGUUUUUAUCUAUCUUAUUCAGAAAUGCUAUGACAAAAAAUGUGUUUCAUAUUAGGAAGGGAAAUAUUUGGGUAUUCCACUUGCACUAUUGAUUGUUCAGAAAAUUGUUUUCCAUGAGAUGCACAUGCAUGCAAAUAUCAAUUGCUAUCUUCAAUAUUGCAAAAGUUAUGGCCAAUAUUAAAGUUUGGCGCAAACAAGCCAACAAACAAACCAACAAACCAACAGACAGGGCAAAAAUAAUAUGUGCCCCAGUAUAGACUGGUGGACAUAAAAAUUGAUCUGUCUGGUUACUUAAAAGCUAAACUCAGCAAAAAGAGCUUGAGACUAGGCUCUACCAGUCAUUCAACUUCUCUUGUCAACAAGUUACAUUAACUGCUAAAGCUCUUUUUUUCAAACUUCUUAGCAGUUUUAAUUUAACUUGGCAGUACUGUUAUUCAGACAGCUCUUACAAAUUCUCUUGAAUUUAUUUUAAUGCUGAUAUUGGCAGGACAACCAAUAAUCUAAGCUCUUGUAAACUUGGUCAUAGCAUGGAUUUGAAAAUCGUUUGCACAGUAGCGAUCAGUCGGCAACCAUUGCUAACAGAUUGAUAAAAAAUCUUCAAAUCCUUUCAAUAAGUUGAAACACAUAA